UAAGCACUUUCUUUUCAAAGUUUGUGCAUCAUAGGUAUCAAAUGCUCCUAUCGUCCCUUUGAUGUGUGCACAUUUAAUGUUUGUAUUUGCUGAGAAGUUUUGAUAAUUCUUGUUCAUGCACAUUGUGAAUUGCCUGAAUUGUCCACCGUACUUGGUUUAGUUAAUAGAUCUAAAGAAGCAAUUGCUGCUGCGCAACUUAAGAG